GUCUACAGCCACCCCGAACAGGCCCGAUCCUGUCUGAUCUCAGAAGCUAAGCAGGGUCGGGCCUGGUUAGUACUUGGAUUGAAGACCACCUAGGAAGACCAGGUGCUGUAAGCG
rnacentral:rRNA from 1 species